rnacentral:rRNA from 1 species
AUGACAGACUCUGGCAUUGACCACCGUGCUCAACAUCUAGUUGCGAUCUUCUCCUGGCGUCACCGGAAUACCUGGGGGAACCAUCGUUGCGAUAGCCGCCGUGCUGCUGCCCGCUGCUGCAUGCUGAGGGGCCUGUUGAUGCAAGGGCAACCACCAUCCGCCACAUGUGCUACUGCAAAGGACUGGCAGGCGAUGCACUGUUCCCACAAGUCCAGAGUUGCAACCAACGAGUACCAAUGUUGUGACCAACAAGGGCGAGAGCUGCGAUUGGCGCGAGAUGGUGUUACGACGGGAGUGUGCGGGAACUAUGGCAAGGGCAUGUUGGAACUUCAAUCGGCGAGGGGGAUGCUUCGAAGGUGA